GCUGGGUUAAGUCACAGCAUAAGAAAACCUUUAAGUCUUCCUCUCUAUUAGCUGGAAGGACAGUUUUGUGUAUCUCUGCUCCAGGACUUUACUUUCCAACCAUCUUCCAACCUUCUUCUGCUAAAAGAUUAUCAAAAUCAGCAAAUAGAAAAAUUAGUUCAUGUUUCUGUUCUGGACACUAGAUGGCAAACUGAUAGUGUGAUACACAUCAGACUUGUUAUCAUGGAAAUCUGAUUAGGCAUGCUGUACAAAAUGCAAGUUAUAUGUAUGCAAAUGAGCAGUGACUUGAUGUGGUGCAUGCUGAUAGCAAGCAGAAUACUUCAACCUUUAUGUUUCUAACUCAUCUGUCCCUUUCCAAGAUUGGACAAUGUAGCUUUUGCUGGAAUCACAGAGUUCUGCACAGCAGAUGCUUCCAGUGGACUUCCUUUCUCCUUCUGGCCCUUCAUGGGCCUGAGUAGGGAGGUGAGUCAGACAGCCCUGUGGUGGACUUCAUUCUGAAACAAGGAGUGAUUCAAACAAGGUUAACUCAAGGUCCUUGAAGAGGGACUGUGAUGCAGUACAGAGAUGUGAGGAUACACCCAAAGGAGCACAGGAACCUUCUGUCAUCACCAGUCCAAAGAGGCAGAACAACUGGGAGAGCAAGUUUGUAUACUGGCCAAACCAAUAGAGCACCAUAUUGUGAAUAUAGUCUCAGGCAUCACUUCCUGACUGGAGAUCUCAAUUGGUAUGAUGGGCACAUGAUGGAAAAACAUAGCAGCAGUGACCAAGCUUUUCACCAGUUCUAAACAAAUUCUGUUCCUACAGACAACUUACUAAAAUCCCACUGAAAGUGUGAUAUGAACAAAAUGUCUUUUCAGCCAAUCCAGCUUGGCAUCAUACUGAACAUCAUUAUCAAGUAUUCUGUAUAUGACAAGAUUUGCAUUUGAGAAGAGUAAAUACAUGUGACCAAGGUCAAAUAUUUAAAAUCCUACUCAGUCAGGGUGAGUCUCCAUCUAUUAUGAUGGCUGGUUUCAGAGAUGACAGUUUAAGAAAAACUUAUUAAAAACAAAGGAAUUGUGCAAUAUUUCUUUCAUGCAAACACCUCCCUUUCUAUUAGUUUUCAGUUUAGGUAUGUGCUGAGCUGGAGUUUGCUUUUAGAUCUGGAUACUUAGAAGGUGCUGAUGAGCCUCUUAGUUAUGGAUUUGUCAUCAGUAAGUCACCUGUACUUGUGGUUUCUGUGAGUUCCACAGUCCAACUACGCUUUAGAUAUGUAAAAAAAAAAUAAAAAAAUUCACUCAUCAUUAACA
rnacentral:lncRNA from 1 species